UAUGUAGGGUGUGAGCGUUAAUCGGAAUUACUGGGCGUAAAGCGUACGCAGGCGGCUGGGUAAGACAGGUGUGAAAUCCCCGGGCUUAACCUGGGAACUGCAUUUGUGACUGCCCGGCUAGAGUCCGUUAGAGGGGGGUGGAAUUCCACGUGUAGCAGUGAAAUGCGUAGAGAUGUGGAGGAACACCGAUGGCGAAGGCAGCCCCCUGGGACAGGACUGACGCUCAUGUACGAAAGCGUGGGGAGCAAACAGG
rnacentral:rRNA from 1 species